UCGACCUAACUCGCUCUAACGUCUUCUCCUUCAAGCAGCUUCGCCUGUGUUGUCUUCCUCUUUCAAAGAUCUCCAUCAGCGACGGCUAUGGAAAUAAGGCCCAGAAUCGUGAAGCAUUGUUUCUUGUAAAGGUUGCGAUUUUAGUUAUCGGCGAAGGUCUCGAUUUUAGUUGUUCGCGAAAAUCCUCCCGUAUAUCAGGGUUCCUGCUAGUACUCUGACGACAUCCACAUCUUACCCUCUUCGGUAUAACAAUAACAGGUCAGUUUCUCAAAAUUUCAAGUAAUUUUCAUCGCAGAUGAUCUUGUAAAUUUAUAAAUGAUACACGAUUAUUUGUUUGUCACGAUACCCCCUGUUUGUGAUUUUUGAGAAGCUCCAUCAAUGUUGCUGCUGUGUUUGUCCUUCACUUGGAAGCUUCUGGAUAUUUUAUGGAAGAAUUUUUUUUUAUGUUCUGAUUCAAUGAAUCAAUGUCCUGCCUUUUUAAGAAUUGCUUCAAUGUUUUGCUUUUUUAAUGCAUAUUUUACAAUAUGAUUUUUUUUUCCUGGUUAUGGAUGGCGUAAGUACAGGAUGUAAUUCAUCCUCUGAGAUUGAUAUCGGUUCUUCCUCUUCCAAAGAUUUAUGUCACAUUCCUCAAGUUAGGUUUGAAAAAAUUCCAAAAGUCGGGCAAGAAUUUGAAUCAUUAGUUGAAGCCCGGAAUUUUUACAACGAAUAUGCAAGAGAAGCUAGUAAGAAAAACAAAAAUGAUGGAAUUGUUAGUAGGGAAUUUGUUUGCUAUAAACAAGGGACUUGAGAAGUGAGAAAUUUAAAUUCAGUUCAGAGUUGGCAACGAGGGAUAACGAGAGAAGGAUGUAAGGCUAAGAUAUCUCUCGUAAAGUCAGGUUCUAAACAGAGUUUUGUUGUCUCAACAUUUUAUGAGGUCCACAAUCAUGUGCUUACAACACCUAGAAAAGUGCAUUUGCUAAGGUCUCGCCGUUCUAUGUGUCCUGCUAAGAAGGCUUUGACACAAUAAUUUAGUGCAGCGGAUGUGUCAAUUCAUCAACAAAUUAGUAAUUUGGAGUUAGAAACAGGAAGUAUGGAAAAUAUUGGUUGUAUAGAUAAAUGUGACGCUAAAGUAAUGUUGAAGCGCAAUACAUUGCACAAGCUUGCAUCUAAUAUCAUUGAGGCCGCUUUGGUCAAUGAAGAAAUAUAUAAUCUUGUGGUAGAAAGGUUCGAGUCCCUUCUAUGCGAGUUGAACAAAAUGACACUUAAUGAAGGAGGACAAUCUUCUGCACCUAGUAUUGUUCUUUCACAACGGGUUUGCAAUGAGCUUGAAAAGGUUGGAGCAAAAGGUUGUGGGAAAACUGGAAAAGGCUAAAAGGAGGUAAAUAAUUGCGACUAUGAACAGGGAAAGCACAUGACAAAAGAAAUUGUCCUACGCUUAAUAAUAUGUAAGUAUUAAGAUUUUUAUAAUUUAUAUAAUGAAUGAUUUCCCCUUUAGUGAUUCAACUGAAUCACUAAUACUUGUUAUGAUUGCAAGAAUGAUGCUGUGGAGGAGCUUUGAUGUUGCUGUCUAGUUGAUAAACUUUGCAGGAAUGAUGCUGUUGAUAAGCUUUGAUGCAAGAAUGAUGCUGUGGCUAAUCUUUUAUGCUGCUGUUUAGAUGAUAAACUUUGCUGAAGUUCAUGUAAUUUUAUACUCUGUUAAGUUGCUGUGAUUAUAAUAUGAAGUUUGGAUGAUUUUUUUGAACUGCUGCUUGUUGAUUAGAUCAAGACAAGUAUUUUCUUCUGGGGUUAUUUCUAAUUCUGCAAAACUUGGCUCUCAUUGAAGGUAAUGGUAUGAUUCAGUUUCUGUGUGUCUUCAAUGACAUUUGAUUUAGUCUCUGUGUGGCUCUCAUUGAAGCUUAUAUAGUAUGAUUCAAUCAAUGAUAGCAGCAAUUUUGAUUAA